AUGGAAGGAGGGCACAGGUUGGAGGUGGGAGGGGGUAUUAGAGGUCACCAACCACAGUUCAGUGAAGGACAGGGCUCAGAUUGGAGAUGGACCCAUCUGGAGACUCUCAUCUUUUAUUCAGACAAACACAUUCUGAGAGGUUCCAGGGGCCAUUGGCCCCAGUGGGGAAUAAGAAAGCCCCCUGUCUUACACAGGAGACAAAUAAGGAUCUAGAGGAUCGCUAAUGGGCCACGAUCACAAGAGAAAUGAGCUCUGGGGGGUGGGAGGAGUGCAGUGAAUGACAGAAGGAAGAGAGAAUACUUGGAUAGACCUCAAAGGGCAAGUGGAAGACAGCUAGGUGAGUAGGGUUCAAGGCAUUGCAUAGAGACAGGAAGUAGCAUCCAUGUGCAAAAACAUGGGAAAGGAAUGGUUCAUACUGCAAACUGCUGGUCAGUCUGCCUGGCAGGGUUAGUGGGAACUUAAGGAGUACAGGGGAUAAAGGAACCUGAGGGUACCUUUUAAACACUGUGCUACGAUUUUAUUAGGAAAAAACCAAAGUGCUCAGCUGUUACGUUAUGUCUGACUCUUUGCUACCCCAUGGACUGCCACCUUCCAGUGUGAGAUGUUAUCAUCAGGGGAAACUGAGUAAAAGGCACAUGUAACCUACAUGUAUCUCAACCGAAAUCUCAAACUAAAAAGAGAAUAAUAAGAAAGAAUGUGCUUUAAAUCUAAUGUUGCAUUAUUUUUUCACUCUGACUCCAGUCACUACUGCAAAGGGGCGCAGAUGAGCAUGUAUUUUACAUACAGAAAUUAAAAUUAUGACAAAAGAUGCAUUUCUUUCUGUACAUGUGGUGAUGCACAAAGGGAAAGGCUGGCAGACAGGCCCUCUCCUGUCACAGUAUCCUUUGCUUUGGGCUUUUCACCAUGGUCCCUGGUCUUUCCUAGUUUUUCAGCUCAGAAUCCUGGUAUUUUCAGUGCACCAAGAAGAGGCCCAGUACAUCUGCAAAAGAACCCAUGAAGCGAGGACAGCCUUGUAACCAAGAACACGGGUUUGGCAAAAGGCAGCCUUGGGUUCAAAUCUCUGCUGUCACUGUGUGGCUUUGGCUAUGUUAACUUCUUUCUUAACUUUCUUUCCUCCUCAGUAAGAGUUAGAUCUUAAUAGUACCACCUUAUUUGGAAGAUUAACUGUCAUGGAUAACACAGUGGAUUGAACAAGAAUAAUAAACUGAUGGCUACCUUCACCAAAACUAAAAAUAAUAGUUAAGAAACAAAAGAAGUAUGAUAUGCAAGGCUUAAGAGAAUAGAGAGUAGACAAAGAGUUAUCAAUAAUAUUUUCAUUUAGUCUAAUACUGUGGAAGGAAACUAACAAACUGGACUAGGCAGAGAGGAAAGCGGCACAUAAAAGCAUCUAGCCAGCCUUACUUGUGAAAUCAAAGUAUCAAACAACUAGAAGAAAUUUUAGCAAUUCAGAGUUCUUUUUUUUUAAAUGUGGAACUAAGGCCUAAGAAGGGCAGCAGUUUGUGCAAGGAGAUGUGGCAGUUAGUGUCAGAGUCAGGACUAGAUCUACUUUCUGACGCAAAUCCUAAUUCUUGGCCAUUAGGUGUCUCUUCUUCCUCCAUUUGAUACCUAAGAGGGAUUUUCCAAUGUGCCAACCAAAGUCAGGAUUUCCUCUUUUUUUGUUUGUGGUUUUAGGGAUUUGAAGGAGGAAAUGAGGGUCACUGAGAUGGGAAGAAAGGAAGAAGUCAUGGGAACCAGGAGAGGCAUCAGGGUACCCUCUGUGGCUAAACAGAAUUUUGCAUUCUAGCUGUUUUGAUGGUUCCAGAAAGUAUCUGCAAAGGCAGAGAAGCACUGCAGAAGACAUCUACACAAAGGCGGCUGCUCUUGAUGGUCUGAAACUAGCAGAGGUUCAGAAUUAAUUUGCUGCUUCUCUGGUCCCAGGUGACAGCACUGCUGGAAGCCUGAAUGAAGUUCAGCAAAUUAAUCUUGCAUAUUUUAUGGGUUCUGAGUGCUGUAUACACAGCAUUCCUGAUGUUGAUUUCUGUCUCAGUCAGCGCAGGUUAGGGGCGGCGGUGGGGGAGGGUGGUGGAUUUGCUUUAUAAUGACUUCAAUUACAGAUAACUAUUAUACUCAGAAUCACACAUCAGCUACUGGUAAACCAGAAUAUGAUACUACACUAGCAGAUGAAGGCCAAGGUUGCCCAGAACACACUUUUAACUCAAUGCUGAUGAUGAUAAAACAGCUCCAUUUCCAGAGAAAGUUCUGCUCCUCCUGUGCUUUCCUGUUGGGUCCCAUCCCUGCUCAGGAUUUGGAAUCAUGCAGAAAUGACAGCACUGCUUAUGCCCCUUUCCAGCUUCCUUUUUGGGAAUGAGCAACAUUUGAAUACUUCUGUUUGAUGUGAAAAGUUGAGUGGAGAGAAAUGACCCAGCAAUCCUGACACCCUCAAAACGAAUCCCCAGUUUUGUACAGCAUCCUGGGAAGAUGCCUAAGUACCAAGCCCAGAAACAACAGGGGGCGCUGUAGAGACAAAGGGCCAUCAGGCAUCCAUCCAGACUGCCCGAGUCACGAAGGCCUUUCACUGUCACACUGGGGCCCCUGGAAGCCAGGCCCUGCCUACUCAAGCCAGCAGUGUGUGUGUCACCGGGGCAGUGCUCUAACAUAACAAUUUGUGAGAGAUCAGUAUGUCCAGCGAGCUGUGGUGCCACAGUGUGGGUGCAAGCCAAGCCUGACCUCUUAUUAACCUCUUCUCAACAGGUCUAGAGAAAACUGAGCCCUCCUCCAGAUCUCAGAGAACUGGAGUCUCAUCUCAGACAAGCAGCAGACAUCAGUGCUCUCAGUUCAGGGAUUAAAUUUAGAAACCCAUUAUUUCUAUUUUCUUACUCGUUCCUCACAUUCGACUCUCUGAAAAGGCAAAAUGUUUAUGAACUUGUUCUUACAGUAACAUCUUCUGGCUCUUACGUUUCCCACAAAAUCCUAUCUUGAAUAACACCAUAUGGUUGGGUUCUCUUUUACAAACUCACCCCACUAACGAUGGUUUGCAGUAAAGCAGAGAAGCAUGGAGGCAGCCCUACAACACUCAAAGAUGUGUACAUCUGCCCCCACCUCAUGUCCACUUGCCUAGGUUUGACCCACAGCACAUCUCCGUCUAACACCUGUCAGUCUUCGUGUGUCUGGUCCUGCCCAGAGUUCAGGAUUUUGGGGCCCUGGCAUGAACCCAUCACACUAAUGUGAUUUUUAUUUUUAUAAAGAGAAGCCAUGUGUUGUGGAUAUUUGUGGGGACCCCCCCAGAGACCACCAAGUUUACAUUCUCCACUGACUUAUGACUAUAAAGCAAAGUGACCCAAAAAAAAAAAAAACCCCUCCAAUUAUUGCAACGCAAACCCCACUUAAUGUAAGUCCCUCUGGCAAACUCCCAGCUAUUUCUCCAACUCUUCCCUCUUCCUCUGAAACCUGCUGGUCUGGUCAGACACAGCUGCCUCUUCCCCCUGGUCUGGGCCAGUGGUCACCACACCCUCCCAACUUCAGAGGCAGAGCACCAUGCUUUCUAACUUCCCAAAGCACUGCUGUGAUGUUAACAAGGCAGUGCAGGUUCCCAGAAGCAUAACUUCUUCCUGAAAGGUAACUCUGUUCUCCCUGAGCUAAGAUGCAUAGACUCUAUCUCAUGCACGAUGCCUAUCCCAGCUGGUCUUUGCCUGUCUCCAGCCUGUCCCAGGCGGCAGAGCCCAACUCACUGCCUUCAGUAGGAAGCUCCAAGCAUCUUCACACCCAUAACCUCCCCAACACUCUCUUCUCUCCUGACACCGAAUUAAAGAAGUCCUUCCACACUCUCACCUAACACCAGUGUCUUUCCUCCUCUAGACUUAAUCCUCAGGUUGACUAUUUCUUCAGGAGGAAGCCUCUAAGUGUACCCUGGAAAAGAAAGUCAGGAUAGUCAUAAGAGGUAUAUUUGGCAGCCUUUUACUGGGCUUCCCUGGUGGCUCAGAUGGUAAAGAAUCUGCCCCCAUUGCAGGAGACCCAGAUUCAACUCCUGGGUCAGAAAGAUCCCCCAGAGAAGGGAAUGGCAACCCACUCUAGUACUCUUGCCUGGAGAAUACCAUGGACAGAGUAGCCUGGCAGGCUACAGCCCAUGGGGUCAGAAAGAGCUGGACACGACUGCGACUAAGCACACACGUUACUAGAUGAAAGGACAGCAUGAGAUGCACCAAGGGUCCCAUGCGCCCUGUCCAAGCCUGAUCCCAGUCCUCUUCCCCACUUUGCUUCACCAGAAGGAGAGGCAUUGAUGCCUGUGUCCCUGCCCCUGUUCUGGCUGGAGCUGUCCUUCCUCUGUGAGCAGAUGUUAGAGUGAGAAGACUGUGUUUUCUAAGAACAGGCAUGAGCAGGCCACAUCAAGAGGUUUAAGAGCAAGGUAAAAUGAAAUAAAAUAGGUCUCUGCCUCUUUGGGGACAAGACAUACUGCCGGCUGCCUUCUGAGAACAAAGCACUUCCAACCUCAGUCUACAGCACUUCCGUUGAGCUCUCUGCUGCAUGUGGGGCUUCCCCCAGGAAAAUGAGGGGUUAUUAUUGCCCUACAUCUGCAUGACUGAAAGGGGCUCACCAAAGAGACAGUCCUUCAGGAAGGUCAGAGGUUCAGUUCCAAAAACAAACUGCAGCAUUCAUCCAGAAAGGUUCAAACUGCCUUCAUCUUCACAAAUGGUAGAAUUUCUAGCUUCUAAAACAAGUUUAGUGACUGUCAGACUUCCUGCUGCCUUCAGAUGACACUCUCAAUGCUGUCACAUAGAGAUCCCAACAUGGGCGUUUCGAGGUUCUUUAAUCCAAAUGGGUUGCUGGAAAUGCAGCU
ensembl:lncRNA